GACGAACGCUGGCGGCGUGCUUAACACAUGCAAGUCGAACGGUGAACCCCGCUUGCGGGGGGAUCAGUGGCGAACGGGUGAGUAACACGUGGGCAACCUGCCCCCGGCUCUGGGAUAACUCCAAGAAAUUGGGGCUAAUACCGGAUAUUCAUCGCUGUCCGCAUGGGCGGUGGUGGAAAGAUUUAUCGGCUGGGGAUGGGCCCGCGGCCUAUCAGCUUGUUGGUGGGGUAGUGGCCUACCAAGGCGACGACGGGUAGCCGGCCUGAGAGGGUGACCGGCCACACUGGGACUGAGACACGGCCCAGACUCCUACGGGAGGCAGCAGUGGGGAAUAUUGCGCAAUGGGCGAAAGCCUGACGCAGCGACGCCGCGUGGGGGAUGACGGCCUUCGGGUUGUAAACCUCUUUCAGCUCCGACGAAGCGCAAGUGACGGUAGGAGCAGAAGAAGCACCGGCCAACUACGUGCCAGCAGCCGCAGUAACAC
rnacentral:rRNA from 1 species